AGCGAACGCUGGCGGCAGGCUUAACACAUGCAAGUCGAGCGCCCCGCAAGGGGCUCGGCAGUCGGGUGAGUUACCCGUGGGAACGUACCCUUUUGUUCGGAACAACCCAGGGAAACUUGGGCUAAUACCGGAUAAGUCCGCGAGGAGAAAGAUUUAUCGCCGAAGGUUCGGCCCGCGUCUGAUUAGCUAGUUGGUGUGGUAACGGCGCACCAAGGCGACGUUCAGUAGCUGGUCUGAGAGGAGGAUCAGCCACCCUGGGACUGAGACACGGCCCAGACCCCUACGGGAGGCAGCAGUGGGGAAUAUUGGACAAUGGGGGCAAACCUGAUCAAGCCAUGCGGGGUGAGUGAUGAAGGCCCUAGGGUUGUAAAGCUCUUUCGGUGGGGAAGAUAAUGACGGUACCCACAGAAGAAGCCCCGGCUAACUUCGUG
rnacentral:rRNA from 1 species